UCUUCUUGCCCAAGCCCACCUGGCUGACAUGCCCUUGGGACAGGUUGGGUGUGCUCAGACCUCUCUCCCCACACUGCCCUGGUAGCCUYAAGCAUCUCAUUGCUCUGGAGUUCCAGACCUCUCCCACCCAGGAAGACAUGAGAACAAAUAAAGCCAUGCUGAUUUAGGAGAUGGAGGCACUGUGGCCCUAUAAAUGGAUGCUUAGACCAAAUUUUCCAGCUGAUGCAGCUGAUGUAUUUCCCUGAUCCCAUUAGUUCUGUGUUGAUUCAUACCUGCUGAGGACCUGAUCUCUGGGUAUUUCCCCUCCCUUGCCCCUGUGGGUGGCCUCCCAACCAAGGAUAUGGACAUAGCUCAGAAAUAAUGGGGCAAAGUGAGRGAGUGUGAGGCUUUAGAGCUUGCUGAGAUGGGGCUGACACUGCAAGGGUCCAUCCCAGGGCUGGCUCCUCAGCUGUACAUGGUGGGGAUUUACCCACUAGUGAUGGAGAUGGAGAAUUGCCUCUCUUGCAAUUUUUGCUGAAAUGUCCUCUUGGGCACUGCAUGAAGAAAGGAAGAACCUGUCCUGUCACUGAAAACAACCCUUCUGGCUUGAGAUUCCCCAGCCUAUGCAAGGAAUAACCCCACAGCUGAGGGCUCUGUGGCAGGCUGUUCCCUUACAGGUGUCUGCAGCUCACACCCAUGCCCUGAGGGUGAGCUCCAAGGAACUGAUUUCCCAGUGGUGGCUCAACAAGCAUGGGCGAUGGUGUUCUCUUCACUGCUGUCCCAUGGCCUGUGGGACCCAAUUCUCCACCCAGAGGUUGGCAGAGARUGAUUUAGGGGGCAUUUGUUACCCCUUGCAUGUCAAAUCAUGGUCUAAGCACCACAGUGGCCUGGUGUAAAGAACCAAGCAGAAACUUGAGCACAGCAGGGAAGGCAAGGAUGAGGAAAUCACACCUCGCCCCUGGCUCAGGCAUCUCCUGCUGGCAAACCUUGCCUUGAGACCCUUGGGCAGCACCUUUGUGAUGCCACCAGCUGGACUGGCCAAAGUUUAUCUCUGUGGCAUGUGCAGGACAUUGUUGUAGGCAGAGUAAAUCCAGUAAAUGCCCUGCUCUGGAGUCAGCAACAGAAAUGAAUGAACUCUGGCUUCCUCUGGCAUGGGGUUGAUUCUGAAUUGGUGGCAUCAGGAAAAAAAAUGUUUGCUUUCUUCUUUUCCAUGUAUCUUUGUUGUGGCUGAAGCCCCCACCCUGUCAAUUGCUGAGCAGGGCCGUGAGUGUCGCUGUAUUUUUCACUUGGGGAGGGUGGUGGUGGGAUGAACUGAGAGAAUGCCAGGACGCCCAYGGGGCUCGAUGGGAUUUGCUUUUCAGCUCCCUGCUAAACACCAAUGCAAAAAUGAACUUGCAGCUGGCAAAUUCAAGCCYUUUGCACCAGCAGCUCCACCCAGACCAUCUGAGCAAUCACUGCUCAGGUUUUCAGRGCCAGGAGUCCUGCAGGGCCUUGGGCUGGUUCCUGCGUGGCAACAAAUGCCCUGUUGUCACCUGGGGACACUGAGGGGACAUUUCCUAAGGACAGCAGUGGGGUGGGUGGGGGUUUUGCACUCAGGAUUGUAGAGCAGGCUCCAGGGGGUGAUGGCCCUGCCCUGGGCACAUGGCACUGCUCAGGCACUGCUGCUCUUGUCUGUCUGGAGCUGUCCCAGGGCAGGACAGCUCACCUGGAACUGAGGGACAGUGCCUGGGCUCUGUGUCCCUUGGAGGCUCUCAGCAGCCUUCCCCACCGAGGGCUAUUGGCAAACGUCUUUUUUCCUACUGCUCCUUUUUUUUUCUUCUCUUUCGUAUUUGUGUUGUUCUUUUCUUUAAGGCAGCUUUGUGAAUUUUUUUUUUUGUCUUGCUUUGUUGCUGGCUUACUUUUUCCCCCCCUCAAAUCUUCACUGCGGCAUCAGCAGCUUUUCAUUGCAGGCCUCGCAGGUGGUGCAAGGGGGCAGGGCUGCUGCCAGGUAAGCUGGGCGAGCUGAGCACAGCGGCUCAGCCUUGUCCUGCAUCCUUCUCCUUGUCCUUCCACCCCUCUCCCUCACUCCAUGCGCCCCGACCGUGCUGCUGACCUGCUGUGACCCGGGUUUGCCACCUUUAUGUUGCAGGAUUGAGCUGACCUCUGAUCUCACAUCUCUGUAGCGAGUACCUUAGGUCCUCGGCCACAAACAUUCUUGCAAAUCUUUUUGACCUGAAGACUAUAUGAAGUUGUCCCUAGCCUCCUCCUAAAGGCAUCCCUUGGCAUCUUUAAAGGCUUGAGAGAAAUACCAAAACCAACCAAACACACCCAUAAGAGAAAUCCAUAAACCCUCAAAACUUGGGAUCCCCUCUUGGCCUGAAGUUGAGUUCUUCAAAACUCCCAUGCUGUCAAGUUUGAGGAGAUACUGUUAUGUGGCUCCACGGACUGGGGCUGAGCCCAAGCAGUGACUUGAGUUGUGUUUGGGGGGCUGGGAUGMACCUUCCUCCCUUUCCCCCAGACAGAACCCAAAGUGAACACUAAAUAUGCAACACGUCUAUUAGUUGUGUUUGUUAUGUGUAUUAGGCCAUGAAAUCCAUGUUGUUCCUUUCCUGGGGUGGGCAAACCAUAGCUCUUCUCUCAGACCAGCUGGGACCUUGUACCAGACUCUCAAGUUGUUUCAUCCUGGGGCCAAACUCCUCUUUAUGGCAGARGGGUGGGAACUGCCUGUGAUUUCCAGUGUUGUACACAGCUGCUUUACUCCGAGGGGUGGAGGGAUGAAGUGGGGUCCACGUGAGGGAUGUCAGACGAUGGCUGGGCUGACUCAAAUCUUGUCCUGUAGUUAUUUGAGCAGAGAACUGAUUCWGUAGGUAGACAGGAGAUUCAAGAAGUGAUGAAGUUUGAUGGUUUAGCUGUUCCGCUUGUGGUGGAGGUUUAGGAGACCCGCUGUUAAUAUCUGCAUCCUCAUUUUUCCCUUCUCCCUUUCCCAAGAGGAAAAACACAAGGAGGUAGCUAUGGCAUCAGAGGUUCUCUCUGGCUCAGGAUGAGAUAAUGGGGGUCCUGGGAGAGGCACACUCCCCAUUCCUCUGCCUGCUUGCUGUUUUAGUGCCCUCUUCUUUUGCUGGUCCUUGGGAGCCAGAGCUUGGCAUUGCCCCUCAGCUCUGUCACACAGAGCAGAUGAAUUUGUCUGGGCACAUACUCAGUUUUAAAUUAAACCCAGCUGGUUUUUGAGAGAGAAAAGAGGGUCCAAGUCCUCAAGCAAUGUUGCAGAAACACCAGGCUGGGUGGGGAUGUGUCCUUCAAAGCUUCUCUGUCACUGACUCUUGGCUAAURCUGCAAACAUAUCAGGAACCCAACAGGCUGCUUGCCCCCCUCCCUCCUUUUUAAUUCCUAUGCAGACAAUACUUGAAACCUUGUACACAGUUGUCCUUUCCAGCGCCUGGGGUUGGCAAACUCUGCAUUAAAGGGCUCAUGUAAAGAACAGCAGGAGGUUCCAGCUUUAGAAGAGGCUGGGCUGCCCCUUCCCAGCCGACAACUGCAAGCGUGUUCAGUGGUUUGCAUAUGAAUUUAGGCACAUCUGGACCCUCUGCUUCAACAUCCCGCUGGUACAGCUGCUGUCUCCCCUCAGUGCUGGCUGGCUGACUGUGUCCCAAGCACCCAACUAUGCAAAGAAUGCCUUAUAUCCGUUGUGUUUAAGUUACAUGGCAAUGUGUACAUCCAGCAAUGUCGGUAGUUGAGUCCAGAUUUUUGCUAGCAGCAGCAAGUCAAACUCUUUCUUCAACUCAAAUGGCUGUCUGGGUAUUUUUUACUUUUGUUUGUUUUUUGUUUGUUUGUUUUGUAUCUGAUGGUGGCUCUUAUACAAAGGACUGUAAUUCUAGUGGCUUGAAUCUGUAAAAAUUGCCUUUGUUUGGUCCAAUAAACCUUUGAAUAGUUUA